UUAAGCCCCAGUCCCACUAGACCCCGAUCGUACCACGCUCAACGCGAUCUAAAUUUAAUUCAGAUCGUGGUGAGGUCGCGGUAUGAGCGGCAUGAAAAUGUAAAUUUUCGUUGUUUCACGAUGCUACUACGUCCUCAUUACGCUUCUACAACGAUCCCGCUACGAUUAUAACACGUUCUCACCGCGCUUAUUCUGCGACCUUACUACGCUUAUCAAGAUCUUUCUACGCUCAUCACGUUCUCACUUCGAUCAUACCACGAGUUAUCCGAUUGCAACACGAUCUUACCACGCUUCUACUGCGAUUAUAGCACGUUCUUACCACGAUUACAAGUUACGUUCAAACCGCGAUCUUACUACGCUCUCAGCAAUAACGUCAACAUCGUGUUCCAUAUCAAUAAAGUAUCAUUCCUUCAGUUCUAUUUCUGAUUAAUACGUAGAUUUCUCGAAAAAAAAAUACAGUCAUGCCACCAGUAUCUACUAGAACACGUGGGCGUGGUGUUAGGGUUGAUGUAGAGGCAGAUGGAGCUCUGUUAGUAACGAAUCUUGAUCAAGUAGAGAUGUCGGACCGACCAAUCCGACCUAAAUUACAACCUAUUGCUAAUAAUAAUAAUAAUAAUAAUAAUAUCUUUAUUUAGAGAGAGUAACUCAUUUGGAUUACACCAAUUUUCAAUAAGGCUCUCUUAAUACAAUAAUAAUUACAUAACAAAUAAACAAUGC
rnacentral:lncRNA from 1 species